GACGAACGCUGGCGGCGUGCUUAACACAUGCAAGUCGAACGGAAAGGCCCUGCUUUUGUGGGGUGCUCGAGUGGCGAACGGGUGAGUAACACGUGAGUAACCUGCCCUUGACUUUGGGAUAACUUCAGGAAACUGGGGCUAAUACCGGAUAGGAGCUCCUGCUGCAUGGUGGGGGUUGGAAAGUUUCGGCGGUUGGGGAUGGACUCGCGGCUUAUCAGCUUGUUGGUGGGGUAGUGGCUUACCAAGGCUUUGACGGGUAGCCGGCCUGAGAGGGUGACCGGCCACAUUGGGACUGAGAUACGGCCCAGACUCCUACGGGAGGAAGCAGUGGGGAAUAUUGCACAAUGGGCGGAAGCCUGAUGCAGCAACGCCGCGUGCGGGAUGACGGCCUUCGGGUUGUAAACCGCUUUCGCCUGUGACGAAGCGUGAGUGACGGUAAUGGGUAAAGAAGCACCGGCUAACUACG
rnacentral:rRNA from 1 species